GCAUUGGUGGUUCAGUGGCAGAAUUUUCAUCCUUCAUGCAGAGACCUGGGUUCGAUUCCUGGCCAAUGCA
rnacentral:tRNA from 1 species